UUUUUCGUUCAUUGGAAAAUCUAAGAAAAAUGGAGAAUUGAUUGUUCAAAAGUAAUGAAAAUACAAAAACAAAUGAAUGGACAUUCAUCGGCCUACCAUAUGAAUCCAACGUGUGUGCCCCCACCCCACACUUCGUGACGUCACUGCAAUGUCGACUUUCACGUCUCCCCCCUUACAACCUUUCGAUCAAUACUCCAAACAUCUGCUUCAGCAUUAAAAAGUCAUCUUCGACUUAGUAGCAAGAAAGCGACACACGCCACUAUUUCACGAUGAGCACGCCAAGCCGGCUUUAGACACCCCCUACCUCUUCCAAAUUUCGUCUGCUUUAUAUCCAUAAGAGAACAAAGUUUAUAUAUAAAAUAGCACCUGCCUGGUUCUUGAUGCACUUCUAAGCGAUGAGUUCGGUCAGUUGUUGUUCUUGAUUGACGUGCCUGGUCUCUUAAGCUGAACAGAACCAUUUUUAAGUCCAAAUGUGAGGCAACCUGCGAGCAAACUAAGUCAAAUGAAGGUCGCCAAUAAACCCGGUAGGUUUACCAGCCAGAAACACGCCAAAUCUUGGACUUGCGCCAUGCAGACUUUCACUACCCUUACCAGAGCACGUAUACCCCCUCCAACAUUGAAACAUUUCUCAAAUAAAAUAAACUUACCCGCGUAGCGACUGAGUGUGAAAUCAAUCGAUUUCUUCUCAAAUUACAAUAUGAAUAUCGUUCUUCAAAACAACACGAUGGAGUGUACAUUGACGAUAACAACAAAAUGCAUCAAUAAUCCUACCAAUGUCAAGUUUUCUAUGGUGGGUAGGAGUCCAGAUUAAAUUACCUUAUAACCAAAAAAAAAAAAAGAAUA